rnacentral:lncRNA from 10 species
AAGUGAGCUACAGUGAGGACUGCCUCCGGAGACUUGCAACUGACCUGCAGCCAUUCCCAGGCACAUGACUAGUUGGAAGCAUGCACCUGCUAUUCUUGUGUUUCACUCAAAAAGAACCAUGGAUGCUGUGCCAGCUUCCAUAAAACUGGUAAAGAAAUGACGUUGAGUCUCCCUGAGCAAGGUCUCCUUUGAGCCAGCUGAAACAGAGCUGCUGAAGUCCCUGCAAUGAAACCAGUAAAACCAAAAGAGACUCAGUUUCCUCACUGGCUAUUCAAGGUAGCUGAAUUACACAAUCCAGAAGCUAAUGGGAGUCAAUACUCUGCAAGGAAGACUCUGACCUAUUAGAGACAGAAGACAAGAGGGAACUAGCCAAUUACUCAUUCAUCCUUUCUUUUUAAAACAAACUCUAAGACAGGCCUUUGUUUUCGUAUGAGAUGUCCAAGGGCCUAAGUAAGGAGCAACAUUUAUUGUAUUGCUGUGGGCAGUGGGCAGCUUGAGUUGCUCUCCUUUCUUCCCCACUGCAUGUCCUGUGUUUUUCUUACUCUUGUUUCCCUGGGAUGAAGUGCUCAAAUAAAGCAUUGAUGUAUAAGA